rnacentral:rRNA from 1 species
ACCUGGAUUACUCCCACAUUACUAAAUUGAUAAUUCAUCCCUAAUUGAUGGCCGACUACGCGCAUAUACAUACCCUAGAAAUGGCGGUGACUUAAAUUUUUCUGUUCUUUCUGUUUGGAUGCCUCCGCGGUCGAGCCGAUCACCUGACCUGGGCACACUUAAAUUAUCUUUUUGUUUGCUCCGAUUCUGUCAUCACCCGCAUCAACCAAACAUCCAUUGCAGCGUGCCUCCGCCUCAUUCGCGAUAUACCAAUAAUAAUAAUUAUAAUAAUAAUAGCGAGAAUGAUAAUAUAAAUGAUUGUUUUCGGCUAUAAAAUCACAACUCUGAAUUGAUCUACGAGGAAACUCGACUGUAGGUUGAAGAAUACGAGUGUAACUUUUUUCUGAGAUUUUGCAUCUGCUGGGUAUUUAACAACCUGCAGUUAAGUUGUUGUGGUGCUGCGGGUAACUCACGAAUCUUUGAAUCUAGAAGUGUCUAGUCAAAACCCACUGAAUCUUCCUUUUCUGGAGUUAUCAGUUGCGGCAUAUUGUAUCUUCAGAAAUGCAGCCGGCUGUCAAUUGCGGAACUGAAACUGCAUGUAAAACGCCUCGAUUCAGAGUAGGCCCGCACGAGCCGCGUAAGCUCAUGUGGUCAGGGCUGCAAGGAGGUCUUAAAGAAAAGGAUUCAUCCAUUUGCACCGAAAAAACAGAGAAGCGGGGCAGGGAGUGGGCUUAGGUCCCAAUGGGAACAAACCACCUCGCCCUCAUCAAUGUAAGUAGGCUUCUCCGAAAAUGCGCUAUAAGGUGCAUGAUGAGGGACUACUGGGACACUACCUCCUCGAAAAUGUUCCGUCUGGUACCGCUUUUAGUACCCAUCAUUCCCUCCUCACUGGUCUUACAAAUUCCUCUAGCCCCUUUAGGGCCUGAGAAAUAUCGUACACAUUUUCUGCAUGUGAGACGUACGGUCCGUACCACGGAGGUAAAAGUGAUAAGAAGUGAACUGAUCCGACGUCACGCACUGGCGCGAUCAGGGCAGAUCCAUAUCCAACAGCCUCUCCGUCUUCCCCCCACUAAAGUUUCUCACGAGUGUGCUCUAAGAUAGUCAGCCUUCAACUGCACUAGUAUCUCCAACAAGGUGCUACAGGUUAGACAACAACUGGCAGGCAUAAAUCCUCAAAUAGUGGAUAUCAAAGAAACCUGGCUUUUCCAAGAUAACUUGGAUGGAGAAGUAGAUGGUAGUGAAAGGACCCUGACAGAGUUCGAGAUAUUGGAGUUCUUCUCUACCUAAAGGAAAUGCUUCCUCCAGCACUCAUCAACUCUUUAUUGCCAACCUCUCCCAUUGACUGCCUCUGGAUGAAAUUACCGCCGAGCAGUGAAUAAACAUCAUCAAUAAGCGUAAUUUGUCGACCACCACAGUGCUAACAAGAAGAACCAGCAGCACUUACCGAACAUAAAAAGGGGCCAUCAGAUGCCCACCAAUUUACCCACCUAUUGGUGAGUGGAGACUUCGAACCUCCCUCAAUGGACCGGCUCGGUUGUCACGCCAGGAGAUCGAUUUUUGGCGCUCAGCUACUAGAAGCACCCUCUCAAAGGCCAUAGAUGCGACAAGUCCAGGGCCCGACUAGGUUUUGCCAAGGGGAAUCACCCACACUUUUUGAUCCUGUUAUUACAAACGAGCAGCACCACUUAAACAAAAUCUGUCACUCCUGCUGGGUAAAGAAGCGUGGUCGAGAAUUUCUCAGCUCUGACUUUUAACGCAAUGGCCAUUGCGCAGUUCGUCACCUAUGACGGCACGAAUACCUAAGGGACAAGCCACUUCCAGCUCAGCGGGUAUCUUACUUCUGAAGUAGAAGGCGCUUUCUCGUAUGCUGGCUUAAAUAUACUUGCCCAACUAAUUGAACCAAUCAUUCCCAUGGUGCUAACGGGUAACGGGGAAUCAGGGUUCGACUCUGGAUAGGGAGCCUGAGAAGCGGCUACCACUUCCAAGGAAGGCAGCAGGCACGCAAAUUACUCAAUUCCGGCACGGGGAGGUAGUGACGAAAAAUACGCAUACGGGACUCACUGGAGGCUCUGUAAUUCGAAUGAGUACAAUUUAAAUCGUUUAACGAGGAUCAACUUGAGAGCAAGUCUGUUGCUAACAGCCGCGGUAACUCUAGCUCCCGAAGCGUAUAUUAAAGUUGCUGCAGUUAGAGGGUCAUAUUUGGAUCAGGGUUGCAUGGUUACAUACCGUCGCUCUCGGGUCUGGCCUGGUUACUGCCGGGUUGAGCUUGCGGAUCGAUCUCAUGGUUGUGCUUACUUUCUGCUGUGUCUGUUUGCAGGUGUCAGCGUGACUGGUGGGCUUUCCGGCUAGUCUUUUGGCAUGCAUUUUGGUGCGUUUAAUUGGGUGUUACAGGUGGACAGCUCGUUUAAUUUGAACAGAUUUGAGUGCUCAAAGCAGGCCUUUGUGCCUGAAAGUUCUUGCACGCAAUAAUGAAAUAGGACUUUGGUUUUAUUUUGUUGGUUUUCGAAUCCAAAGUAAUGGUUGGGAGGAACAGAUGGAGGCAUUUGUAUGGCGGCCUUAGAGAUGAAACUCUUGGAUCGCCACCGGCGAAAGCAUUGCCAAGGAUGUUUUCACUGAUCUUGAGCUAAGGUCAGGGGUUUGAAGACUAUCAUAUACCGUCCUAGUUCUGACCAUAAGCUAUGCCAACUGACGAUCUAUGGUGGGUCUGUAUGUAUCGCCCCGGACAGUCCCCGGGAAACCCUAAAAUCUUUGGGCUCAGGGGAAGUAUGGUUGCAAAGAUGAAACUUAAAGGAAUUGUCGGAGGGGCACCACCAGGAGCGGAGCCUGCGGCCUAAUUCGACUCAACACGGGAAAAUUCACUCGGCCCGGACACUGUGCGGAUUGACAGAUUAAUAGUUCUUUUAUGAUUCGGUGUUUGGUGGUGCAUAGCCUUUCUCAGUUAGUGGAGCAGUUUGUCUGAUCGAUUCCGAUAACGAACGAGACUCUGGCCUGAUAAGUAGUACACCUGUCUUCUGUGCUCGUGCAGGUUGCAUUGUCCAUUGUCUCCUUGUGGAGUAGUGGUGACGUUGAUCGGCGGGUGCGGCCCAGGUAUUUACAUUUAAAAGAACAAGCGGUAUUCAAUCGCACGAAAUUAAGCGAUAACAUGUCUGUGAUACCUUUAGAUGUCCAGAUCCUCACGUGCGCUACAACGACGGAUUCAGCGAGUUUGGAAUCCUGGCCUGAGCAGGUUGGGUGAACUGUAUCAUAACCGUCGUGACUGGAUCGGGGCUUGCAAUUGUUUCCCGUGAACGAGGAAUUCCUGUUAAGUGAAGGUCAUAAGCUUGCGCUGAUUACGUCCCUGCCCUUUGUACACACCGCCCGUCGCUACUACCGAUUGAAUGGUUUAGAAAGGCCCCCGGAUUGGUGCCAUUUUAGUGGCUUCAGCCGCUCGACCGAUACUGAGAAGAAGACCAAACUUGAGCAUUCAGAGGAAGUAAAAGUCGUAACAAGGUUUCUGUAGGCGAACCUGUGGAAGGGUCAUUA